rnacentral:rRNA from 1 species
CGGGGCUGGGGUUGCCUCAGUAGCGGCGAGUGAAGCGGCAAGAGCUCAGAUUUGAAAUCGUGCUUUGCGGCACGAGUUGUAGAUUGCAGGUUGGAGUCUGUGUGGAAGGCGGUGUCCAAGUCCCUUGGAACAGGGCGCCCAGGAGGGUGAGAGCCCCGUGGGAUGCCGGCGGAAGCAGUGAGGCCCUUCUGACGAGUCGAGUUGUUUGGGAAU